rnacentral:rRNA from 1 species
GACAGAGGCCUCGAGCGUUAGGCGGAAUCACUGGGCUUAAAGCGUGUGUAGGCGGAUCGUUAAGUACCUUGUGAAAUCCCACGGCUCAACCGUGGAACGGCUGGGUAUACUGGCGGUCUUGGGCCACCUAGGGGCGAGCGGAACAAACGGUGGAGCGGUGAAAUGCGUAGAUAUCGUUUGGAACGCCGAUGGUGAAAACAGCUCGCUGGGGGUGUGCCGACGCUGAGACACGAAAGCCAGGGGAGCAAACGGGAUUAGAAACCCCAGUAGUCC